CGAAUUGACGCAUGCUUAACAUGCAGUCGAACGGCAGCACGGGUGCUUGCACCUGGUGGCGAGUGGCGAACGGGUGAGUAAUACAUCGGAACAUGUCCUGUAGUGGGGGAUAGCCCGGCGAAAGCCGGAUUAAUACCGCAUACGAUCUACGGAUGAAAGCGGGGGACCUUCGGGCCUCGCGCUAUAGGGUUGGCCGAUGGCUGAUUAGCUAGUUGGUGGGGUAAAGGCCUACCAAGGCGACGAUCAGUAGCUGGUCUGAGAGGACGACCAGCCACACUGGGACUGAGACACGGCCCAGACUCCUACGGGAGGCAGCAGUGGGGAAUUUUGGACAAUGGGCGAAAGCCUGAUCCAGCAAUGCCGCGUGUGUGAAGAAGGCCUUCGGGUUGUAAAGCACUUUUGUCCGGAAAGAAAUCCUUGACUCUAAUACAGUCGGGGGAUGACGGUACCGGAAGAAUAAGCACCGGCUAACUACGUGCCAGCAGCCGCGGUAAUA
rnacentral:rRNA from 1 species